GCUCCCAAUGAGAGUGGCGCACGGGUGCGUAACACGUAUGUAACCUACCUUUGUCAGGGGGAUAGCCUCUCGAAAGAGAGAUUAAGAACAUUAGCUAGUUGGUAGGGUAACGGCCUACCAAGGCUACGAUGUUUAGGGGAUCUGAGAGGAUGGCCCCCCACACUGGUACUGAGACACGGACCAGACUCCUACGGGAGGCAGCAGUAAGGAAUAUUGGUCAAUGGGCGGAAGCCUGAACCAGCCAUGCCGCGUGCAGGAAGACGGCCCUACGGGUUGUAAACUGCUUUUGUACCGGAAUAAACCUUGAUACGUGUAUCAAGCUGAAUGUACGGUAAGAAUAAGGAUCGGCUAACUCCGUGCCAGCAGCCGCGGUAAUACGGAGGAUCCAAGCGUUAUCCGGAUUUAUUGGGUUUAAAGGGUGCGUAGGUGGCUUUUUAAGUCAGGGGUGAAAGACGGUAGCUUAACUAUCGCAGUGCCUUUGAUACUGAAGAGCUUGAAUGAACUAGAGGUAGGCGGAAUGUGACAAGUAGCGGUGAAAUGCAUAGAUAUGUCACAGAACACCGAUUGCGAAGGCAGCUUACUAUGGUUUUAUUGAC
rnacentral:rRNA from 1 species